rnacentral:misc_RNA from 1 species
GAUGAAGAACGUAGCGAAAUGCGAUACGUAGUGUGAAUUGCAGAAAUACGUGAAUCAUCGAAUCUUUGAACGCACAUUGCGCCCCUUGGUAUUCCGAGGGGCAUGCCUGUUCGAGCGUCAUUAUAACCCCUCAAGCUCAGCUUGGUGUUGGGGCCUGCUGCACUGGCAGCCCUUAAAAUCAGUGGCGGCGCCAUCUGGCUCUAAGCGUAGUAAUUCUUCUCGCUAUGGAGUCCUGGUGGAUGCUUGCCAUCAACCCCCAAUUUUUCUAUGGUUGACCUCGGAUCAGGUAGGGAUACCCGCUGAACUUAAGCAUAUCAAUAAGCGGAGGA